rnacentral:rRNA from 1 species
AGCCUAUAUAGAUGAAAAAGUCUAUAGUUUGAAAAAAGACGAGAAGACCCUUAGAGUUUUACUUAGUGUGAUUUAAAUUAAUCAUAAUGGUUUUGUUGGGGCAACGUAGGAGCAAAAUUAUUAAUCUCCUGAAUGAACUAACCGAUUAUUUUAAAUAUGGAAAAACUACCUUAGGGAUAACAGCAUUAUGUAAAAAAUAAGUUUGUGACCUCGAUGUUGGACUGGGAAAUUUAAAGGCUAGCCGUUUUUAAAGAAAGUUCUGUUCGAACUAUUAUUCCC